CUAAAUUAUUAGCCUCUACACCAAUAAAUUAUUUUAAUCCAACAUCGAGGUCGCAACCCUUCUUUCCGAUAAGAACUCUGAAAAAGAUUACGCUGUUAUCCCUAAGGUAAUUUAAUCUUUUAAUCUAAACUAUUUUAGGAUCAUCUAUUUACAAAUAAAUAUUUCAAAAAUAAAAAAAGUUAAACUAAUUUUUAAAUCACCCCAAUAAAAUAAAUAAACAGAAACUUUUUAUUCACACUCCUUAAACUAAAAUUUUCUGUUUAUUUAUAAAACUCUACAGGGUCUUCUCGUCUUCAAUACCAAUUUGAGCUUUUUUACUCAAAAAUAAAAUUUUAACAAAUUUAAAUAGAGACAGCUAUUUUUUCAUCAAACCUUUCAUACAAGCUUACAAUUAAAAAACUAGUGAUUAUGCUACCUUUGCACGGUCAUAAUACCGCGGCCAUUCAAAUACUCAGUGGGCAGGUUAGACUUGAAAUCAAC
rnacentral:rRNA from 1 species